rnacentral:rRNA from 1 species
ACGGCUCAGUAACACGUGGAUAACCUACCCUCAGAUCUGAGAUAACUCCGGGAAACUGGAGAUAAUACCGGAUAAUCCGUGAACGCUGGAAUGCCUUACGGUUGAAAGCUUUAGCGUCUGAGGAUGGGUCUGCGGCCGAUUAGGUAGUUGCUGGGGUAACGUCCCAACAAGCCGAUAAUCGGUACGGGUUGUGAGAGCAAGAGCCCGGAGAUGGAUUCUGAGACACGAAUCCAGGUCCUACGGGGCGCAGCAGGCGCGAAAACUUUACAAUGCUGGAAACAGCGAUAAGGGGACCUCGAGUGCCAGGUUACAAAUCUGGCUGUCGUGAUGCCUAAAAAGCAUUGCAUAGCAAGGGCCGGGCAAGACCGGUGCCAGCCGCCGCGGUAACACCGGCGGCUCGAGUGGUAACCGUUAUUAUUGGGUCUAAAGGGUCUGUAGCCGGCCGGAUAAGUCUCUUGGGAAAUCCAGCAGCUCAACUGUUGGGCUUUCAGGAGAUACUGUCUGGCUCGAGGCCGGGAGAGGUGAGAGGUACUUCAGGGGUAGGGGUGAAACCUUGUAAUCCUUGAAGGACCACCAGUGGCGAAGGCGUCUCACCAGAACGGACCUGACGGCAAGGGACGAAAGCUAGGGGCACGAACCGGAUUAGAUACCCGGGUAGUCCUAGCCGUAAACGAUACUCGCUAGGUGUCGGCCACGGUGCGACCGUUGUCGGUGCCGUAGGGAAGCCGUGAAGCGAGCCACCUGGGAAGUACGGCCGCAAGGCUGAAACUUAAAG